AUUGAACGCUGGCGGCAGGCCUAACACAUGCAAGUCGAGCGGAUGAAGGGAGCUUGCUCCUGGAUUCAGCGGCGGACGGGUGAGUAAUGCCUAGGAAUCUGCCUGGUAGUGGGGGAUAACGUCCGGAAACGGGCGCUAAUACCGCAUACGUCCUGAGGGAGAAAGUGGGGGAUCUUCGGACCUCACGCUAUCAGAUGAGCCUAGGUCGGAUUAGCUAGUUGGUGGGGUAAAGGCCUACCAAGGCGACGAUCCGUAACUGGUCUGAGAGGAUGAUCAGUCACACUGGAACUGAGACACGGUCCAGACUCCUACGGGAGGCAGCAGUGGCGAAUAUUGGACAAUGGGCGGAAGCCUGAUCCAGCCAUGCCGCGUGUGUGAAGAAGGUCUUCGGAUUGUAAAGCACUUUAAGUUGGGAGGAAGGGCAGUAAGUUAAUACCUUGCUGUUUUGACGUUACCAACAGAAUAAGCACCGGCUAACUUCGUG
rnacentral:rRNA from 1 species